AAAGGUCGAAAGCCAUGGCACCAAUGACCAAAGAGGAGUGGGAAAAACGACAGAGUGUAAUUAGGAGGGUUCAGGAUGAAGAGACUGGCAGAUACAGCGAUAAGCUCCAAUGCUUGUUCUACAUGGAGAAAGAGGCCUAUGUCCAGCAGUGGGAUGUCAAUUGUAAUUAUUUAAUUGCUAUGAGUGAGCUCACGAACGCGCCGUACGAUGAUGAUACGUGAACUGAUGUAUGUAGCUAAUAAAUCGUGCAACUAAUGUAAAACGUUGAUUGGGCGAUAUGUAUGUGCAGCUGAACCGUACACAAUCUGAAUGUGAA
rnacentral:misc_RNA from 1 species